CAAUGGGGGAAACCCUGACCGAGCAACGCCGCGUGUGCGAUGGAGUCCCUCAGGGACGUGAAGCACUGUGGGGGGCCGCCAAACGGGCGGGCAGGAAAUGGCCCGUCCCCGAGGAGCCCCCUAGAAAGCGACUGCUAACCACGUGCCAGCAGCAGCGGUAAUACGUGGGUCGCAAGCGUUAUCCGGAAUCAUUGGGCGUAAAGAGUGAGCAGGCGGUCCGGGAAGUCCGCGGUGAAAUGCGGGGGCUCAACCCCCGCAGGCCGCGGAUACUUCCGGUCUGGGGUGCGGGAGAGGCGGACGGAACUCCGCGUGUAGCGGUGAAAUGCACUGAUACGCGGAAGAACACCGGUGGCGAAGGCGGUCCGCCAGACCGAUACCGACGCUCAGUCACGAAAGCGUGGGGAGCAAAUAGGAUUAGAUACCCUAGUAGUCCACGCCGUAAACGAUGGGGGCCAGGGCGCGGGGUCGACCCGCGUCCGAAGCAAACGCAUUAAGCCCCCCGCCUGGGUACUACGUUCGCAAGAAUAAAACUUAAAGGAAUUGGCGGGUGCCCGCACAAGCAGUGGAGCAUGCGGUUCAAUUCGUGGCUACACGUAGAACCUUACCAGGGUUUGACAUGCCGGCAAAGGCCCCGGAGACGGGGAGAUAGCUAUGCCGGACAAAGGUGGUGCAUGGCUGUCGUCAGCUCGUGUCGUGAGAUGUUAGGUCAAGUCCUCCAACGAGCGCGACCCCCGCCGCCAGUUGCCAUCAUCGAGUUGGGCACUCUGGCGGGACCGCCGGCGACAAGCCGGAGGAAGGCGGGGAUGACGUCAAGUCAUCAUGCCCCUUAUGCCCUGGGCCACACGCGUGCUACAAUGGCCGGCACAGUGGGAAGCGACGCCGCGAGGCGGAGCGGAUCCCAAAAGCCGGUCCCAGUACGGACCGGGGGCUGCAACCCGCCCCCGCGAAGCUGGAAUUGCUAGUAAUCGCGGAUCAGCCAAGCCGCGGUGAAUGCGUUCUCGGGCAUUGCACACACUGCCCGUCACACCAUGAAAGCCUGCAACGCUCUAAGUCGCCAGCCCGACCCGCGAGGGGGGGCGGCGCCCAAGGCGGGGCCGGUGAUUGGGGGUAAGUCGAAACAAGGUAUCCCUACGAGAACGUGGGGAUG
rnacentral:rRNA from 1 species